UGUUCGUUCGCAUGCUGCAUUGUUACUGUUUUGAAAAGUGCGGAUUUUUUCUUCGGUUUGAGAAAUUUCGAUGUCACAGCAGACCUGGCUUUAGCAUCCGUCACGGACUUCACAAAGAGACAAUCAGGGACGCCAUUUCAGACCCAGCAAAUUUGGAUGUCAGCAGAAUAAAAGUCUUGCUGGAGGCAACGCUGGAAGCUCGGCGGAAAAGCCCGGAGAAUGAACUUCCUGUGUACUUUCUAAACCCAGACGUGCUUGCACUUGAGGCCGAACUGAGGUUUGAAGCUUCUUAUGAAGACAUGCUAGCCAAGCUUCAACAUAUUCGAAAGAUGCUGGUUCGAACGAGCUUCAUCGAGAUUGACGAGUACCUUCGGCCAAAAAAAGCUGAAUUUGCCCUGAUCUCAUUGGAGACACAUGAACGAGGUGUGCCUAUUCCUGGCCCUUGUAUCAUCGCCCAAGAUGGACACAAAGUCGUCUGCAAGGGCCACACCAUUGAUCUGGCUGCGGGAUCAUCACUGGAGCAUGCUUUAAUCAUUUGCGUAACACUUUAUUUUAUCUUGGAUAUCACGUACCCAAAUGCAUUUGGUCAAACUUUGGGUUUGGUCCAGACAGCAUUAGCUAAGAGGGAGCCUUCUCCACGCUGCUUGAUGUCACACAAACUUACGCCGUGUUUAAAACAGUUGAAACAUCCUGCAAGAACUCGUUAGCAGAUGAGAUGCUGUAUGUAAGAUCUCCUUUUUUCUUUGAGCACAAACAAUGCAAAGAGGUAGCAGUGACUCACACAAACCUACAACCUAAAGGACAGCUUUUGGGUUUGGUAGUUCUAAAAACGCAUUGCUUAAAGUUGUGGCCAGUCAUAACAGCUUUGCUUUAAGCAUGUACACGCAUUGUCACCACAUUUAGGGCAACUGUUUAUUGGUCUAUUUUCUUUUUUGACUUUGGGCGACAAAUGAUAGGUGUGAUUUUUUGCAAGUGUAUGCGGCAUACUCAAAGCGAUACUGUUGCACUUUGUAGAAAAAUGCGUGUUGCUACAGUGAGGCAUAACAACACUUAUGAGGCUCGCAUUAAAAACACUACUCUUUCUAGAUUAAAAAA